rnacentral:rRNA from 1 species
GCCCGCACAAGCGGUGGAGCAUGUGGUUUAAUUCGAAGCAACGCGAAGAACCUUACCAGGUCUUGACAUCCUCUGACAAUCCUAGAGAUAGGACGUCCCCUUCGGGGGCAGAGUGACAGGUGGUGCAUGGUUGUCGUCAGCUCGUGUCGUGAGAUGUUGGGUUAAGUCCCGCAACGAGCGCUACCCUUGAUCUUAGUUGCCAGCAUUCAGUUGGGCACUCUAAGGUGACUGCCGGUGACAAACCGGAGGAAGGUGGGGAUGACGUCAUAUCAUCAUGCCCCUUAUGACCUGGGCUACACACGUGCUACAAUGGACAGAACAAAGGGCAGCGAAACCGCGAGGUUAAGCCAAUCCCACAAAUCUGUUCUCAGUUCGGAUCGCAGUCUGCAACUCGACUGCGUGAAGCUGGAAUCGCUAGUAAUCGCGGAUCAGCAUGCCGCGGUGCAUACGUUCCCGGGCCUUGUACACACCGCCCGUCACACCACGAGAGUUUGUAACACCCGAAGUCGGUGAGGUAACCUUUAGAGCCAGCCGCCGAA